GACGAACGCUGGCGGCGUGCUUAACACAUGCAAGUCGAACGGAAAGGCCCUGCUUUUGUGGGGUGCUCGAGUGGCGAACGGGUGAGUAACACGUGAGUAACCUGCCCUUGACUUUGGGAUAACUUCAGGAAACUGGGGCUAAUACCGGAUAGGAGCUCCUGCUGCAUGGUGGGGGUUGGAAAGUUUCGGCGGUUGGGGAUGGACUCGCGGCUUAUCAGCUUGUUGGUGGGGUAGUGGCUUACCAAGGCUUUGACGGGUAGCCGGCCUGAGAGGGUGACCGGCCACAUUGGGACUGAGAUACGGCCCAGACUCCUAAGGGAGGCAGCAGUGGGGAAUAUUGCACAAUGGGCGGAAGCCUGAUGCAGCAACGCCGCGUGCGGGAUGACGGCCUUAGGGUUGUAAACCGCUUUCGCCUGUGACGAAGCGUGAGUGACGGUAAUGGGUAAAGAAGCACCGGCUAACUACGUG
rnacentral:rRNA from 1 species